rnacentral:rRNA from 1 species
GACGAAGGGGGCAAGCGUUGUUCGGAAUUACUGGGCGUAAAGGGCGCGUAGGCGGUUCUUUAAGUCAGGCGUGAAGGCCCUGGGCUCAACCUGGGAGUGGCGCUUGAUACUGGAGGACUAGAGAGUGGGAGAGGUUGGUGGAAUUCCCAGUGUAGAGGUGAAAUUCGUAGAUAUUGGGAAGAACACCGGUGGCGAAGGCGGCCAACUGGACCAUUUCUGACGCUGAGGCGCGAAAGCGUGGGGAGCAAACAGG